UAAACCUUAAAAGCUCAGAAGAGAAAAUAGUAAAAAGAAAGAAAAAUUUUAAAGAAAAGAGAAACUUUUGAUUAUAGUUUUUCCAUGGAUUAGAAGUUCAUUGGAAACUCGUUGCCAACAAUGGACACAAAGAAAAUGUUAAAGUGCGGGUCCCACCACCAUCGUUCUCACUCCGACAAUUGUUUUCGCUUCAUCACAAACAUUCCCCCCUUCAACACUUCUAAUCUUGUCAACUCCAACUUCCCUUUGUCACUCUCAUUUCCAUCUUUGGACACUAAUGACAUCAUUCCUAUGGUUAUUGAUUUGAACAAGUCUAAUAAGCGGAAGAGGUUCACAGGAAUUCCCCAUGCCAAGCACCUUCGAAGCUUGUCGGUGGACUCUAACUUUUUCUACAAUUUUGGGUUCACUAAUGGUGAAAAUGAGAGAAUCAUUGGGAAAAGUGGCAGUGAGCAAAGGAUGGAGCACCAACGACAUAACUCAACGGGUGAACCCUCGACUAAGUUGUUUAAGGUAGACUCAGGAAUGGAGAUGAUGGAUUGUAAGAGGAAAGAUCUGAUCCUUGACAAACUCCCUGAAUUAGCUCUUGUUGAUCCAAAGAAAGCUAGAUCUAACAGUCGAGGAAUAUUCGUUAUGCAACUAUGUUGAAGAGGAAGAUUCUUUACACAACUAUGUUGAAGAGGAAGAUUCGUUAUGCAACUAAGUUGAAGAGGGAGAUGCAAUCUCUUAGAACUCAAGAAACUAUCCUCUCUACCCAAAUUACCAUGCUUAACAGAGAAUAUGCAAAUUUGUUUGUCGAGCACCAAUUGUAUUCAGAAGCUUUGGACCAACAAGAUCAACUUAAUGAAGAACUCAUGAAUUUAUUCAUGGAAGAACAUCAACGCCUUAGGGCACGAAGUACUCCUUUAGUGCUAUUUCUGGUAACCAUUAUUUGGGCUACCUAUUUAGCCUUGCAACGAUUGACUAAUUCUGCACUCCAAUAGGCACAACACCAGCUACAAGUUGGCAUGCCUCCUCUUCUAGGAAGAAUCUUUGUGACUUCAUGGGCUUCGAUAGUAGAAAUAGCCAAUAAUAGCAACGAUAUAUGAUUCUUUACAUGUGAUACUCAUCAUAAAGAAACUAUUGUUCAUAUAUAUAUAUAUUCGUAAUAGGUGAUACUUAUGAAGGCUAUAUUAUGCAAUUUAGUGUUUUUUUUUGUUUUGUUUUGUUUAUCUUUUCUUGGUUUAGGAUUGAAUCAUACCCUAUUAUUUUUACUUUCCGUAGUUCUAUGUUGUACUUUUUUGAAAUAUAUUUUGUAGCUCUUGGAUGAAUGGUGUUACAUAUAGAAAGACUAGUUUAUGAUAAUGGUGAAUGAAGAUCAUUAGUUAGCAUUUUUGGAAUUAAAUAUUAGGUGAUAUAAGUUAAAUCUUGGAGCAUAAAACAUCUUCUCAAUAUGCCUUAGUUUC